GUGAUUGGUCCUCUAGAACCAUCUAGGGGCGGUGCAAAAUAUUACCUUGUGUGUGUGGAUUGUUUCACUAAUUAUUCUUGGGUCUAUUUGAUGGAGAAACCGCAAGAAACUUUAGAAAAGUUUCAGGAGUUUUGUGACAAGGUUAAAAAUAUGCAUGAUGCUAACAUUGAUUGUCUCUUCACAGAUGACAAACCAAUUUUUCUGUUACAGAAGUUUCAGAAGUUCCUGGAUGGAAAAGGGAUAGACCACAAAGUUUCUGUUUCAGCCGAAGCGUGGAACAAGGGGGUCUGUGUGAGGGUGAACAAAGAAUUGCAAAAGGGGAUGCAUGCGCAAUUGCUGAGUUCACAUUUGCCACAUAAAUAUUGGGCCGAAUCGCUAGCGUCCUAUCUUCACGUGUGGUUGAGAAAGGUCUCAACAGAGUUGGGAUGUUCUCCUUUUGAGAAGCUGUUCAAAAGAAAACCUUCUAUUGCCUAUUUUAAGGUUUUCGGGUCUCAUGUGAGAACAGAAGCUCCAGGUGGAGUGAAGAAUGCCAGAGGCAUUUUUGUGGGUUAUGAAAAGGGUCUCUACAGAGUAAUUUUGUCUGAAUCUGGUCAGGUGAUUCUCACAAAGUUUCUAGAGAGUGCUCCAGAAAAAGAGCGGGUAGUAGAACACACAUUUCCCACAGGUGGCAAUUCAGAUGACGAUGUUUUUUCUGAUGUCACAGAUUACAGUGGUACUGAUGAUGACAGUGAUAGCUCAGAGAGUUCAGUUGUAACAGUCAUUGAGAGAAAAUCUCACACAAUGGCUAGACCUUCACAGAUGAAGGAAGAACCACUGUUAGCCAAUGCUACUGGCUCUCAACAAAGUCCAGAGGUUGAACCAGUGAGCACAGAAGAUCAGCACCUCAUACGCAGGUCUGAGAGAGUUACAAAGGGUGUACCACCAAAGAGGUACUCAAAAGAGUUUGCUAACAUAGCUGUUGCAUGUGUUGCUAUUGUUAACAACUCAAAGCAGGUUAAAGCAGUGUCUAAGUCAGAGACAAAGACACAACAGAGAGUAGCAAGCCAAGGUAAUGCAGAAGCACUCAUUCCUUGGAAGCCAGACAACCAGAGAGGUACACUGGUGAAACCAGUGGUGGGGAGUUUCAAGGGUGGAACUGAAACAACAGGGGACUGUUAUAUGUAUAACAACUGUUUGUUUUCUUCUCUGGAUCAUGUUUUGCCUAUUGAUGCUUUUGGGGGAGAUUGUUGGAUAAAAG
rnacentral:lncRNA from 1 species